AAACACCGCAGAAACGACCCAAAAUCCCCCCCAAAUCGCCCUGAAAUGCCCCGAACUGGAGCCCAGCCAGCACGGAACGGCCAGGAAGCACCAAAUAGCCACCAAAGGAACACAGAAAAAGGGAUUUUGGGAAACAGGCACAGCACUGUGGACACUCUUGUCUCCAAUCAGAGAAGAUCUAGUCUUCUAAGAAGAGCAGUUUGGCCUUCUCAGAGGAGCUGUUCCUGUCCUUUCACUGAGAAUGGAGUCCUUAAACAAAGUGUGAAUUCAUCCCGAUGAGUUAGUGACUUCUGCCCAAUUCUUUGUACAACAAACACAAAUGCAUGCUCAGGUACUCCACCUGCCAAGCAGGGAAAAAAAAGUCCUACAGCACUUUGUGGAGAAAGAGGAAUGGGACAACUGCAUAUCACCAGUGGAGUUCCUCCUCCUCCUGGGACUGAGUGGUGUCCCCAGUCUUCAGGUGCCUCUCUUUCUCCUCUCUCUCAUGAUUUACCUGGUGAUGAUGUUUGGCAGCCUCCUCGUUGUUGUGCACCAGUGGCAGGUACUGGGUGAUAUCUGCUGGGCACCAUGUCUGAUGAUCAAGACAUGGCCAUAUGUCAACCCCUGAUCUACACAAGCCUCAUGGAGGGGAAAGUCUGUCUUCAGCUGGUGGCUGGCCCUUGGCUAGGAGGAUUACUGAUGGCUACCAGAGUCACUGGGCAUUUCUCGAGGUUACAGUUCUGUGGUCCCAAUGAAAUGAAUCACUUCUUCCAUGGUUUUGCCCCGUUGCUGGAGCUUGCCUGCAGUGACACCAGGGUGCUCAGACUGGUUACCUUCCUAAUCUGUGUCCUGGAUGUAGUCUUCCUCUCUCUGUUCCCAUUGGGAUCCUACAUCCGCAUCAUAGCUGCCAUCCUGAGGCUC